CGACCGGCGCACGGGUGAGUAACACGUAUGCAACCUGCCCUCUUCAGGGGGACAGCCUUCCGAAAGGGAGGCUAAUCCCGCGUAUAUCGGUUUCGGGCAUCCGAGAUCGAGGAAAGAUUCAUCGGAAGAGGAUGGGCAUGCGGCGCAUUAGCUAGACGGCGGGGUAACGGCCCACCGUGGCGACGAUGCGUAGGGGUUCUGAGAGGAAGGUCCCCCACACUGGUACUGAGACACGGACCAGACUCCUACGGGAGGCAGCAG
rnacentral:rRNA from 1 species